rnacentral:misc_RNA from 1 species
GAUGAAGAACGCAGCGAAAUGCGAUAAGUAGUGUGAAUUGCAGAAUUCAGUGAAUCAUCGAAUCUUUGAACGCACAUUGCGCCCGCCAGUAUUCUGGCGGGCAUGCCUGUUCGAGCGUCAUUUCAACCCUCAGGACCCUUUGGACCUGGUGUUGGGGCUCGGCCGCUACCCCGCGGCCGUCCCCGAAAGAUAGUGGCGGUCUCGCUGUAGCGUCCUCUGCGUAGUAAUUACACCUCGCACUGGAACGCGGCGCGGCCACGCCGUUAAACACCCCACUUCUCAAGGUUGACCUCGGAUCAGGUAGGAAUACCCGCUGAACUUAAGCAUAUCAAUAAGCGGAGGA